rnacentral:lncRNA from 1 species
UUAUGGCAAGGUAUUAUUCUACUAUUAGACUUACAAUACUUCAUAGUGGUUUCCAACUUCAGCAGUGCUUUGCGGAUCUUAACAAAAUCUGUUUAAUCCCACGACCACUAAUGUGCUUGCUCUAUACUAGACCUUCUCCAAACAAUAUACCUCCAUGCCCACUAUGUGUCUAUGCCUAUGCCUCAAUACCUUCCUUCCUUCCUUUCUUCAAUCUCUACUCAUGUCAAGAAUGGAGAAUAAAUCUAGCCUUCAUAUUACUUCACUUUAUUGCAAUCCAAUUAAUAAUUUCCAUCAAGAAUGAACUAACUCCCUC